rnacentral:rRNA from 1 species
UACGUAGGGGGCAAGCGUUGUCCGGAAUCAUUGGGCGUAAAGAGCGUGUAGGCGGCCCGGUAAGUCCGCUGUGAAAGUCCAGGGCUCAACCCUGGGAUGCCGGUGGAUACUGUCGGGCUCGAGUCCGGAAGAGGAGUGUGGAAUUCCUGGUGUAGCGGUGAAAUGCGCAGAUAUCAGGAGGAACACCAAUAGCGAAGGCAGCUCGCUGGGACGAUACUGACGCUAAGGCGCGAAAGCGUGGGGAGCGAACAGG